UUUCGCGGCGGUCCGAUAACCGAGGAGACGACGGUCGACGGGAAGAAAAAAAUUGGCGAUCACAAGGAGGAUCUACGCCAAAAGCCACAUGAUCGCCGACGUCAGAGACUUUAUCACCACGAGUACUACCUGGGAUUCACUCCGGAACGGUCCGUUCUGUCCACGCUCGCCUCGCCAGCAAUUCAUGCCUUCUCAGCCUUCACAGAAGCCCUCCAGCCACGCCACGUCUUCCUGCUACUCACCUGCAAUCUCGAGCCGAAGAUCCCGCCUUGGGAAAAUCACCUGCAAGAAAAAUAAACCAAACUACUUACCA